GUGGGGAAUCUUGCACAAUGGGGGAAACCCUGAUGCAGCGACGCCGCGUGAGCGAUGAAGCCCUUCGGGGUGUAAAGCUCUUUCGGCAGGGAAGAUGGUGACGGUACCUGCAGAAGCAGCUGCGGCUAACUACGUGCCAGCAGCCGCGGUAAUACGUAGGCAGCAAGCGUUGUUCGGAGUUACUGGGCGUAAAGGGUGCGUAGGCGGCCGAUUAAGUUUGUUGUGAAAUCUCCCGGCUCAACUGGGAGGGUGCGGCGAAUACUGAUGGGCUGGAGUGCGGGAGAGGAGAGUGGAAUUCCUGGUGUAGCGGUGAAAUGCGUAGAUAUCAGGAGGAACACCGGCGGUGUAGACGGCUCUCUGGACCGUAACUGACGCUGAGGCACGAAAGCGUGGGUAGCAAACAGGAUUAGAUACCCCAGUAGUCC
rnacentral:rRNA from 1 species